AAAUGAGAAAAUUACCAAAAUGCCCCUGAACUUUGGUAUCUCUACAAUUUAGCCAGGGUUGCCAGGUUAGAUCGGGUUGGAGGCCGUCAGAGAUAUUAUCACAUUGUCAAGUCUACGCUAUCGGCGUAAGUAAAUCUUAGUGUUUCGAGUCUAUGGCAUGUAUAGGGUUGUAAAGUUGAGUAAGUAAAUGAUACAAGACUAAGAUAUUGGUAAAUAUUUAAUAAUGCCUCAUGAAUAUUUUGGGCCUUGUAAGCCCGAUUAAAGGAUAAUAUACGUGUGUAUGAAAAGUUUAAAAUUGAUCAAAAA